CAGAGAGCAGCCAAAAUGGCACAUUGUUCAUGGGACAAACUGCUUAUCUGUCUUCCGAGGGAGCAAAGUCAGCAUUUGAGGGAGAGGAAGAAAAGUCACUUGAAGACAAUGUCUAUUUUGGAACUGUCAGUGAUGAUUCUGAUAUUGUUACCCUUGAGCCACCUAAGCUAGAAGAAACUGGAAAUCAAGAAGAAGCUAUAAUUGUUAAAGAAGCACAGAGUCCAGAAGACUUUAACAUGGGCUCUUCUUCUAGCAGCCAUUAUACAUUCUGUCAGCCAGAAACUGGUAAGAACUACCUAAGGAAUACACUGAUAGGAGACUUAAGGUCUUCUAUGACCACAUUUUAUAUGAUGGCUUGCUUGUUUUCUAACCCUAAAUCUCAAUGUAUUGGGAUAAAACUCAAGAAAAUUUUUUGUAGAAUUUACUGUAUCUAGUGUUUUCCUAUACUCUAGGGCCUAGAGUGCAGUAGUCCUCUGCUAUAAUAAUAAAUACCAUCUACUGUCAUUAAGUAAAAGACAAAAAAAUUUUUUUCAAGGAGGUUUGUUAAUGUCUCAAAGACUCCAGAAUGCAUUUAACAUUUUUUAUCAUUGAGUGGGAUACUGAACCAUUCAUCUAGAAGCAGAAGAAAGUUAAGAUUUUUUUACUUACAGUGAUACAAAUUUUGUGUUACAGAAAUGGUGAAGGAAACUUACUGAACUCUUUCAGAUUCUUUAAAUUAUUAGUCAUUCAAUAAACAUUGAGUGCUACCAUGUCCCAAAUAGGGUUCAAGGAGCAGGCAAUACAGCAGCAUCCCAAAGCCCCUGAUAUUUGCAUCUUUCAUUUUAUGUUGAGUUUGAAAAUGUGCCUCUCCUAAGUCACAUUGUUAAUACAGUUAAUGCCUGUUGUUCAGACAGAAUCAUUUGGAGGUUAAAA